CUUCGGUGUCAGUGGCGGACGGGUGAGUAACACGUAAGUAACCUGCCCAGAAGUGGGGAAUAACUUGCCGAAAGGCGAGCUAAUACCGCAUGUGAUGGUCUUUCCCUGGAGAGGUCAUAAAAGGCGAAAGUCGCUUCUGGAGGGGCUUGCGGCCGAUUAGCUAGUUGGUGGGGUAAUGGCCUACCAAGGCUGCGAUCGGUAGCUGGUCUGAGAGGACGGACAGCCACACGGGGACUGAGAUACGGCCCCGACUCCUACGGGAGGCAGCAGCUAGGAAUCUUGGGAAUGGGCGAAAGCCUGACCCAGCAACGCCGCGUGGGCGAUGAAGGCCUUCGGGUUGUAAAGCCCUUUUGCAGGGGAAGAUGAUGACGGUACCCUGCGAAUAAGCCACGGCUAACUACGUGCCAGCAGCCGCGGUAAUACGUAGGUGGCGAGCGUUGUCCGGAUUUACUGGGCGUAAAGGGCGUGCAGGCGGUCUGCUAAGUCUAGGGUGAAAGCUCCCGGCUCAACUGGGAGAGGUCCUUGGAUACUGACGGACUUGAGGGAGGCAGAGGAGAAUGGAAUUCCCGGUGUAGUGGUGAUAUGCGUAGAUAUCGGGAGGAACACCAGUGGCGAAGGCGGUUCUCUGGGCCUUACCUGACGCUGAGACGCGAAAGCGUGGGGAGCGAACCGGAUUAGAUACCCGGGUAGUCCACGCCGUAAACGAUGGACACU
rnacentral:rRNA from 1 species